rnacentral:rRNA from 1 species
AUACGGAGGGUGCAAGCGUUAUCCGGAUUUAUUGGGUUUAAAGGGUGCGCAGGCGGACCUGUCAGUCAGUGGUGAAAUCCCGGGGCUCAACCCCGGAACUGCCAUUAUACUACAGGUCUUGAAUACGUUUGAAGUAGGCGGAAUGUAGCAUGUAGCGGUGAAAUGCAUAGAUAUGCUACAGAACACCGAUCGCGAAGGCAGCUUACUAAGCCGAUAUUGACGCUCAGGCACGAAAGCGUGGGUAGCGAACAGGAUUAGAAACCCCAGUAGUCC